rnacentral:tRNA from 1 species
GGGUUGUGGCUCAGUGGUAGAGCACUUGCCUAGCAUGUGCAAGACCCUGGGUUCGAUCCUAAGCCCCA